CUUAAUCAUAAAAUACCUCUACUAGAUCAUGUGGGUGUGGAGUGACUAGCAUAACUUUUUUUUUUUUUUUAGAAUUUAAUCUCUUUUUAUUUGGUGCUGAGGAUUGAACCCAGUGCCUCACCUGCACUAGGCAAGUGCUCCAUCACUCAACCCUAGCCCUAGAAUAACUUUUAAUGGAUAGCUUGCCUGAAUUCCCCUCCCCAGCAUUCAUCUUUUGUGGAUACCAUGCUAUUUCCAGUCUCUUGGGGGAGAGGUCACUUAUUCUGGUUUUACUCCACUGGGUUCUAAGGUCCUUGCAUUCAUAUUAAUCAAGGAUGGAACCAGGAUGACAAGCCUUGUAAUGUAGUGCUUGACACAUAGAACUGUCUUUCAAUUAAAUAUUUGUCAAACUGAAAAUGAGCCAAUAUCCUGAUAAAAGCUUUCUGUUUCCUGGUUUCAUAUUUGAUCAUCUCUAUCCAUUGUUUUUCAAAAUGAAAUAUUUCAACUGAGAGUAUAUGAUAAGAAUUCCAGAAGGACAUAAAGCCAUUGGAAAAUUUACUUCCCAAGAGUGCUAAUUUUACCUGAUAAUUGGGGGAAGAAAACAUUUGUACAUUUAAUCAAAGCAGAUAUAUUUUGGAUAAGAAUGCAAAGUACAAGUGAAUGUUCAGGGUAGAAUAUGAAGCUGUAAAGAGAUAAUCUUUGCUCUAGAUCCUAUUGGUCUAUGUCCUGAGCUCAGGAAGGAGAUAGGUUCACCAUUUGGCUCCUAGGUUACUUUGAACAUAUUUGAAAGGCACAUUAGCAAGCUAGACUUACG
rnacentral:lncRNA from 1 species